UUUGGAAUGUGUUAAGAGGGUCGGUCCAGCUUUAAGAACUAUGGUAAAUUUUUAGCACACCAUUUUCUUUGCUCUGUCUGAAAAUCAAAAGUAUCCAAUAUGAGACUUGCAAUGAAGAAGGGGGAUGCUUUGAACCUGUAUUAGGGUAUUAUGGGUGAGAAUUUAGAACUGAAUAGCAGCAAUGGAUACAGAACAGAGCACACAUCCAGGAGGAUUGCUUACUGAUCUAAAGAUUGGAACUAAGGCACAAAAUUUGAAAGAAAACUAAGCCUUAAUUUUCAUGCAGUGAAAUAAACUUCUUAGCAUGCAGUAGGUAGAUCAGUGCAAACCUGACAAUUUGACAAAAAUAAAGCAGCUUAUAAAAUUUAUUUUCUCAAAUUCAGCAACCUUUUAAACUUAGCCUUUGUUGGAUAUUAAAGUUGGCAUAGCAGCAUUUAUAUGGAAGAUGUCUGAGUAGCAAUAUUAGAGGCUCCAAUUUGCACCCAGAUUUUAUUUACAUCUGUGAUUCCUCAAUCUGUUAGCUAUCAUAUAUCACUUAGAUACUAUACAUGUACUAAUUUGAAAGGGAAUACACAUUUUGUCAUUUUAUUCUAAUAUAGGUGACCAUUGAUAAUCUAAUACUAGUGAUGUCUUCAAAAUUUGCUUUACUCCUAUUGAAGAUUCCUUUUAUGCAAUGCUCUCAAAUACUUAAAAAAAUUGAAUCAGGCUUGAAAGGAAAAUCAAAGACUCCAUUCAAUCAGUAUUAUAAUUUUCCCAUUGAAUAAAUUCAUGUCUAUGUGAUUCAUGAAGCUGAUACACAGAGGAUGCUGAGCCCAGAGUAAAUAUAAGAGGUCCCUGUACUGGAAUUGGAGGAGGAAAGAUGGAGAUUUUUCUGGUAGGGUUACACUCAGAAAAAAAAUACAAUCAAAUUAAGAAAUGCUGAAGAGUAACAGAGAGUUCAUAUAAUACUUACGCUGAAUAAUUUACCCAAAGAAAAAGAACACAGUCAAGCUGCAGGACCUUUUGAACAAUGAGCAAGAGUUCAAUUAUCCACCAAUGUUCUAUUAAAAGUCAGCUUUCCGGGCGGAAGUGUUAUUUCAGCACUCCUAUCUUAGAAUUAUUAAACAGAAUUUCGCCCGUAUAGUUGCUGUGCUGGGCUGUACCUGGUACCUUCAUUUUAAGAACUCAGGGUUACAUGAAGUAUCACUCUGUCACAAAAAGAAAGAAAAUAAUGGAGGAGGAAAGAGUUAUUUUAACAUCACUUCUGGAGGGUAAGAGCUAUU
rnacentral:lncRNA from 1 species